GAGCUACUCUCUCCGUUCAGAAUUACUCGUCCAAGAAAUGAAUGUAUCUAGAUAUAUUUUAGUUGUAGAUACAUUCAUUUUUGUGACAAGUAGGAGUAAUUCCAAACGGAGGGAGUACAUG
rnacentral:pre_miRNA from 1 species